UACGUAGGUGGCAAGCGUUGUCCGGAUUUACUGGGCGUAAAGGAUGCGUAGGCGGAUACUUAAGUCAGAUGUGAAAUUCCCGGGCUUAACUUGGGAACUGCAUUUGAAACUGGGUAUCUAGAGUGUGGGAGAGGAAAGUGGAAUUCCUAGUGUAGCGGUGAAAUGCGUAGAGAUUAGGAAGAACACCAGUGGCGAAGGCGACUUUCUGGACCAUAACUGACGCUGAGGCAUGAAAGCGUGGGGAGCAAACAGG
rnacentral:rRNA from 1 species